rnacentral:rRNA from 1 species
CCAAGGAGUCUAACAUGUGCGCGAGUCAUUGGGACCGAGGAAGCCUAAAGGCGAAAUGAAAGUGAAGGUCGGCCCAGCGCCGACCGAGGGAGGAUGGACGGCGUCACGAUGCCGUCCCGCACUCCCGGGGCGUCUCGUUCUCAUUGCGAGAAGAGGCGCACCCAGAGCGUACACGUUGGGACCCGAAAGAUGGUGAACUAUGCCUGGUCAGGACGAAGUCAGGGGAAACCCUGAUGGAGGUCCGUAGCGAUUCUGACGUGCAAAUCGAUCGUCGGAACUGGGUAUAGGGGCGAAAGACUAAUCGAACCAUCUAGUAGCUGGUUCCCUCCGAAGUUUCCCUCAGGAUAGCUGGCACUCGCGUGUUCCCAGGAACCUGUGCGAGUCUCAUCUGGUAAAGCGAAUGAUUAGAGGCCUUGGGGCCGAAACGACCUCAACCUAUUCUCAAACUUUAAAUGGGUGAGAUCUCUGGCUUGCUUGAACUAUGAAGCCACGAGAUCAUGGAUCAGAGUGCCAAGUGGGCCAAUUUU